rnacentral:tRNA from 1 species
UCCCCGGCAGUCCAGUAAUUAGGACUCUGCACUUCCAAUGCAGAGGGCAGAGGUUCCAUCCCUGGUUGGGGAU